CACAAACAAAAAAAGCCACUUCAAAUAUUCCAGCUAGUCGCAAAUCUGAAUCAAGUCAGCAGACCAUCAGACAUGGAGUGGCAAUGAACAGAUUCUCAGAUGAGAGAAAUGCAGCCGAUUUGAACGUUGAGGGUGUGAAAACUUCAGGAAGUUGCUAGAAGAUCUGGGAUAUCUACAGAAAGGAAAGAAGCAAAACUCAUCACUGCUACCAAGAGAUCCAGACUAACACGGCUACCCCUCUGAUACUUAACCAAUCUGAGCGUUUUCAGGUGAAGGAAGUGAAUCUAUCCUUUGCUGUCAAAGGCUACAAGCAGUUUCAUAAGAAUAAAGCAAGAUACAUAACCAAAGCUUCUGAAGUUACAAAAGGAUUGACUUGUUCCAAUCAAGAAUAAGGAAACCACUUAUACCUACUAGAUUUUUAGCAGUACAGCUGAUUGUAUGGAGAGAGAGAGAUAAACCAAUCCAGCAAUUCAUCAUGCAGAAGAUGUGCAUUUAUACUCCCUGUUACAAAAUGAAUCCAAUGACAAUGGAUCUGGUUUCCCUUCAGGUGAAAGAAAUGCAGCUUGUCCGUCAGAAGUAGGAACAGUUUCUCUUGCUAUCAAGAGGAGGUCAUAUUUUGAGAUGCAAGGA